rnacentral:rRNA from 1 species
GACGAACGCUGGCGGCGUGCUUAACACAUGCCAGUCGUACGGAAAGGCCCUGCUUUUGUGGGGUGCUCGAGUGGCGAACGGGUGAGUAACACGUGAGUAACCUGCCCUUGACUUUGGGAUAACUUCAGGAAACUGGGGCUAAUACCGGAUAGGAGCUCCUGCUGCAUGGUGGGGGUUGGAAAGUUUCGGCGGUUGGGGAUGGACUCGCGGCUUAUCAGCUUGUUGGUGGGGUAGUGGCUUACCAAGGCUUUGACGGGUAGCCGGCCUGAGGGGGUGACCGGCCACAUUGGGACUGAGAUACGGCCCAGACUCCUACGGGAGGCAGCAGUGGGGAAUAUUGCACAAUGGGCGGAAGCCUGAUGCAGCAACGCCGCGUGCGGGAUGACGGCCUUCGGGUUGUAAACCGCUUUCGCCUGUGACGAAGCGUGAGUGACGGUAAUGGGUAAAGAAGCACCGGCUAACUACGUG